AGUUCCAAAUAUCGUGAUAGCAUUACGAGCUUUCCUGCUAUCCGACAUCUGUGAUGGA
rnacentral:pre_miRNA from 1 species